rnacentral:rRNA from 1 species
AGCAGCCGCGGUAAUUCCAGCUCCAAUAGCGUAUAUUAAAGUUGUUGCAGUUAAAAAGCUCGUAGUUGAAUUUCGGGAUCAAUACGUCGGUCGUGCUUCGGUACGUACUGGCGUCAUUGGUUUCUCCCUUCUGACGAACCAUGAUGUCAUUAACUUGGUGUCAUGGGAAAUCAGGACUGUUACUUUGAAAAAUUAGAGUGUUUAAAGCAGGCUCACGCUUGAAUACAUUAGCAUGGAAUAAUGAAAUAGGACGUUCGAUCCUAUUUUGUUGGUUUCUAGGAUCAACGUAAUGAUUAAUAGGGAUAGUUGGGGGCAUUAGUAUUCAAUUGUCAGAGGUGAAAUUCUUGGAUUUAUUGAAGACUAACUACUGCGAAAGCAUUUGCCAAGGAUGUUUUCAUUAAUCAAGAACGAAGUUAGGGGAUCGAAGACGAUCAGAUACCGUCGUAGUCU